GACGUAGGGCGCGAGCGUUGUCCGGAUUUAUUGGGCGUAAAGAGCGUGUAGGCGGUUUGGUAGGUCCGUUGUGAAAACUCGAGGCUCAACCUCGAGACGCCGAUGGAAACCAUCAGACUAGAGUCCGGAAGAGGAGAGUGGAAUUCCUGGUGUAGCGGUGAAAUGCGCAGAUAUCAGGAGGAACACCAAUGGCGAAGGCAGCUCGCUGGGACGGUACUGACGCUGAGACGCGAAAGCGUGGGGAGCAAACAGG
rnacentral:rRNA from 1 species